UACGGAGGAUCCAAGCGUUAUCCGGAUUUAUUGGGUUUAAAGGGUGCGUAGGCGGGCUUGUAAGUCAGUGGUGAAAGCCCGGAGCUCAACUCCGGAACUGCCAUUGAUACUGCAAGUCUUGAGUACACUUGAGGUGGGCGGAAUACAUCAUGUAGUGGUGAAAUACUUAGAUAUGAUGUAGAACACCGAUUGCGAAGGCAGCUCACUAAAUUGUAACUGACGCUGAGGCACGAAAGCGUGGGGAUCAAACAGG
rnacentral:rRNA from 1 species